rnacentral:miRNA from 1 species
AGGUCUGAUACUCUAUCUUUCA